rnacentral:ncRNA from 18 species
AGAUUGCUCGGAUUGGCAGGCGUGGACAGGGGGUAAAAGGGAAACAGGUGCAAAACCUGUGCGAUCUCGUCACUGUGAACCGGAGAGUGGCACCGCAGAUGCCAUUGCGAAAGUGAGAAGGCGCGGUGUGCAUGAUGACCCGAAAGCCAGGAAACCUGCCGGCUGUCGUGAACAUAUC